UACGUAGGUGGCAAGCGUUGUUCGGAAUUAUUGGGCGUAAAGGGCGCGUAGGCGGCCUUCUAAGUCGAACGUGAAAUCCCCGGGCUCAACCCGGGAACUGCGUCCGAUACUGGAAGGCUUGAAUCCGGGAGAGGGAUGUGGAAUUCCAGGUGUAGCGGUGAAAUGCGUAGAUAUCUGGAGGAACACCGGUGGCGAAGGCGACAUCCUGGACCGGUAUUGACGCUGAGGCGCGAAAGCCAGGGGAGCAAACAGG
rnacentral:rRNA from 1 species